AUUGAACGCUGGCGGCAGGCCUAACACAUGCAAGUCGAGCGGAUGAAGGGAGCUUGCUCCUGGAUUCAGCGGCGGACGGGUGAGUAAUGCCUCGGAAUCUGCCUGGUAGUGGGGGAUAACGUCCGGAAACGGGCGCUAAUACCGCAUACGUCCUGAGUGAGAAAGUGGGGGAUCUUCGGACCUCACGCUAUCAGAUGAGCCUAGGUCGGAUUAGCUAGUUGGUGGGGUAAAGGCCUACCAAGCCGACGAUCCGUAACUGGUCUGAGCGGCUGAUCGGUCACACAGGAACGGGGACACUGUCCAGACUACUACGGGAGGCAGCAGUAGGGAAUAGUGGACAAUGGGCGAAAGCCUGAUGCAGCCAUGCCGCGUGAGUGAAGAAGGUCUUCGGAUUGUAAAGCACUUUAAGUAGGGAAGAAGGACAGUGAGUUAAUACCUUGCUGUUUUGACGUUACCAACAGAAUAAGCCCCGGCUAACUUCGUG
rnacentral:rRNA from 1 species